AAUAUUGCACAAUGGGGGAAACCCUGAUGCAGCGACGCCGCGUGAGUGAAGAAGUAUUUCGGUAUGUAAAGCUCUUUCACCGGUGAAGAUAAUGACGGUAACCGGAGAAGAAGCCCCGGCUAACUUCGUGCCAGCAGCCGCGGUAAUACGAAGGGGGCUAGCGUUGUUCGGAAUUACUGGGCGUAAAGCGCACGUAGGCGGAUUGGUCAGUUAGGGGUGAAAUCCCGGAGCUUAACUCCGGAACUGCCUUUAAUACUGCCAGUCUAGAGACCGAGAGAGGUAAGUGGAACUCCUAGUGUAGAGGUGGAAUUCGUAGAUAUUAGGAAGAACACCAGUGGCGAAGGCGACCACCUGGGCUAAUACUGACACUGAGGUGCGAAAGCGUGGGGAGCAAACAG
rnacentral:rRNA from 1 species